rnacentral:tRNA from 1 species
GGAAGGGUGGCUGAGUGGCCGAAAGCAGCGCACUGCUAAUGCGUUAACCGUCAAAAGCGGUUCGUGGGUUCGAAUCCCACCCCUUCCG